UGAUCAAGAACAUAGCGAAUGGCGAUACUUGGUCCGACAAGGAACAGACUGCUGAGAACAGUCAGAUGUCCUACCCCAAUCAGCAUUUCGGU
rnacentral:rRNA from 1 species